rnacentral:rRNA from 1 species
ACUGAACGCUGGCGGAAUGCUUUACACAUGCAAGUCGAGCGGCAGCGCGGGGCAACCUGGCGGCGAGCGGCGAACGGGUGAGUAAUGUAUCGGAACGUGUCCUGUCGUGGGGGAUAGACCGGUGAAAACCGGAUUAAUACCGCAUACGAUCGAGAGAUGAAAGUGGGGGACCGCAAGGCCUCAAGCGAUAGGAGCGGCCGAUAUCUGUUUAGCUAGUUGGUGGGGUAAAGGCCCACCAAGGCUUCGAUCAGUAGCUGGUCUGAGAGGAUGAUCAGCCACACUGGGACUGAGACACGGCCCAGACUCCUACGGGAGGCAGCAGUGGGGAAUUUUGGACAAUGGGGGCAACCCUGAUCCAGCCAUUCCGCGUGAGUGAAGAAGGCCUUCGGGUUGUAAAGCUCUUUUGUCCGGGAAGAAACGGUUUUGGCUAAUAACCAAGACUACUGACGGUACCGGAAGAAUAAGGACCGGCUAACUACGUGCCAGCCGCCCGCCGUAA